rnacentral:rRNA from 1 species
UGGGGAAUAUUGGACAAUGGGCGAAAGCCUGAUCCAGCCAUGUCGCGGGUGUGAAGAAGGUCUUCGGAUUGUAAAGCACGUUAAGUUGGGAGGAAGGGCAGUAAGCGAAUACCUUGCUGUUUUGACGUUACCGACAGAAUAAGCACCGGCUAACUCUGUGCCAGCAGCCGCGGUAAUACAGAGGGUGCAAGCGGUAAUCGGAAUUACUGGGCGUAAAGCGCGCGUAGGUGGUUCGUUAAGUUGAAUGUGAAAGCCCAGGGCUCAACCUGGGAACUGCAUCCAAAACUGGCAAGCUAGAGUAGGGCAGAAAGUGGUCAAAUUUACUGUGUAGCCGUGAAAUGCGUAGAUAUACGAAAGAACACCAGUGGCAAAGGCGACCACCUGGGCUCAUACUGACACUGAGGUGCGAAAGCGUGGAGAGCAAACAGG